rnacentral:tRNA from 1 species
AGCUUUAUAUUCAAAAAAUGAUUUUAAAUUGCAAAUUUAAAGGUAGAAUAUUCUUAAGGCUU